GACGAACGCUGGCGGCGUGCUUAACACAUGCAAGUCGAACGGAGUGACGAACGGGUGCGUAAGCCGGGGGUGAUCGGCGUUACACUUCGGGAUAAGCUUGGGAAACUGGGUCUAAUACCUGAUAGUGCAAGAUGAGCGCUCGGCCUAUCAGCUUGUGGGUGGGGUAAUGGGCUACCAAGGCGGCGACGGGUAGCCGGCCUGAGAGGGUGUACAGCCACAUUGGGACUGGGGUACGGCCCAGACUCCUACUGUAGGCAGUAGAGGUGAAUAUUGCACAAUGGGCGGAAGCCUGAUGCAGCGAAGCCGCGUGGGGGAUGAAGGCCUUCGGGUUGUAAACUCCUUUCGACAGGGCCGCGGUACCUGUAUAAGAAGCACCGGCUAACUACGUGCCAGCAGCCGCGGUAAUUC
rnacentral:rRNA from 1 species